rnacentral:rRNA from 1 species
UACGGGGGGGGCAAGCGUUGUUCGGAAUUACUGGGCGUAAAGGGCUCGUAGGCGGCCAACUAAGUCGGACGUGAAAUCCCUCAGCUUAACUGGGGAACUGCGUCCGAUACUGGAUGGCUUGGAUUUGGGAGAGGGAUGCGGAAUUCCAGGUGUAGCGGUGAAAUGCGUAGAUAUCUGGAGGAAUACCGAUGGCGAAGGCAGGUCUCUGGGCUGACACUGACGCUCAUGCACGAAAGCGUGGGGAGCAAACAGG